AGUCGUGUGGUCUAAUGGUUAUGAUAUCUCGUUCACAGAAACUGAACACCCCUUGAUCCGAGAUGGUUCUGAGUUCGAUCCUCAGCACGACUA